AACGUAGGUUCCGAGCGUUAUCCGGAUUUAUUGGGCGUAAAGAGCUCGUAGGCGGCUCGGUAAGUCGGGUGUGAAAUUUCGAGGCUCAACCUCGAAACGCCACCCGAUACUGCUGUGGCUAGAGUCCGGUAGGGGAGCGUGGAAUUCCUGGUGUAGCGGUGAAAUGCGCAGAUAUCAGGAGGAACACCAGCGGCGAAGGCGGCGCUCUGGGCCGGUACUGACGCUGAGGAGCGAAAGCGUGGGGAGCAAACAGG
rnacentral:rRNA from 1 species